CCGGCGACCGGCGGACGGGUGCGUAACGCGUAUGUAACCUACCUUUGACAGGGGGAUAACAUCGAGAAAUUGGUACUAAUACCCCAUAACAUCACCGGAGGCAUCUUCGGUGGUUGAAAACUCAGGUGGUCAGAGAUGGACAUGCGUUGUAUUAGCUAGUUGGUGAGGUAACGGCUCACCAAGGCGACGACACAUAGGGGGACUGAGAGGUCAACCCCCCACAUUGGUACUGAGACACGGACCAAACUCCUACGGAAGGCAGCAG
rnacentral:rRNA from 1 species